GUUUCACAAGUGGCUGCAAAUAGCCCAGAAAUGCCUUUUUGUAAAGGAAUAAGCGAAUAAAAGGAAAUGAAUCUCAUUCAUCACUGCGAGAACGGCCGGGACAGCAAAUCCUGUUGUUUGUCAGAGGAAUUACUCAGCCAGGCCACAACCACCUUCUUGCUGCUAAAGCCUCCCCCAGCCGUGCAGUCUGAGCGCCGUGGGUUUGGUGUUUCUCAAAGCCCACCCAAUAACCGCCCCAAGGAGGCGCUGCCAUCUGCCUGGAGGUGGAAACUGGGCUCUGUUUAUUCCUCCUCUCCUCUCGCUGAGCCAGCCCAGGCCCCAGGAGGCAGCAAUGGUUCAUUAAGCCGAGACCAUCAAUGAAUUGCAGGAGCUGCUGCUGGAGCCCACGAGAGGGCGUUGCUUCCUGGGAGCCGCUGGUGGAGAUGGAGCAAAACUUCCUUUCUAAGUAGCGAUUCCCAAAGUUCCGUUCCUUGCCGUAGUUCUCUGUGUCAUUUUCCCCCCUCUGGCUUUUUUACAUCACAAUUCAAACGGCGGCCUUCAAAAAACAGCUGACUCCAAACAAAAUCAGCCACUUCUACACUAACAUGGGGGGAAAAAAAGCACCGUGUAAAGCUGGGGUUCUUGUCAUCGUCAGAAGUCUGAAGAACCGUGGUGAUAAUGAGAAACAGUGCUAAAAAUGGGCAGAGGGGGAGCACAGGGCACGAAUGGAGCCUCAGCUGUUUGUGUGCUCCUCAAACGUCACAAAGUCGUCCUGGCACAAUCCCAGCCCCCCUGAGCUCACUGCAGGCUGCUGGGCCUGACUGCAAACUGCAGCAGCUCCGGGCUGCAGCAACACCCCGUGCAAGCUGCAGCAGGACGGGAUGCAGGACGAGCCCUGACAGCAGCCAGGCCUGCCACGCUGCAGCGCUGAUGUAAAUCACAUGCAAAGCUCCGAGCAGCACCGGGACACACCGGGGGAACCGGAGAGACCGGAUCUGUGACGCAACACGGCAGCGCUGGAGCCCCGUGGGGCUGCGCUGGCGAUGGAAUCACGGAGGAGCCAGGGACGGGUGUGUGCAGAUGAGCUUCCACUGCAGCCCGCCGUGGCCUGCCGUGGUUUGGGGGCAUUGUCCAUUCGUCCCCUCCCAUCCUGCUCUCAUCGACUGUGGGCACUGUGGUCAUUGCACAAAUAAAAGCAAAGCAAGGCAGACGGGUUACAGGACUGCCUAUGUAGACAGAAGAAUUCGCUGAAGGCCACGGAACCAGAAGCCGGGCGGCAUCCUGUGACUCCCAGUCUGGUGCUUUGAUUGCUGACUGCUCCUGCUUUACAUGCUAGCGUCGCCGGCUCACUGAAAAUGUCGGGUAAAACAGCCAGCACCACCAACAACAUAGCUCAGGCCCGGAGGACUGUCCAGCAGCUGAGAAUAGAAGCCUCGAUAGAAAGAAUAAAGGUGUCAAAGGCAUCAGCAGACCUAAUGCUCUACUGCGAAGAACACGCCAAGAAAGAUCCGUUGCUGAUGGGCAUUCCUGCUUCUGAAAACCCAUUCAAGGACAAGAAGACGUGCAUUUUGUUGUAGGGGCACAGCGGUGCCUCCGCAGCUCCCUGGGGCAGGGCAAGCCGCAGGCACAUGUGUAGGCAAACAACCUGUAAGGUACCCGGUAUUCACUGUCCUCUUCUCACGUGUAGAAACGAUCUCUUAGGCUUUCUAAAGCAUUUCUUCUGCUCCCAGUCUCCGGUAGGAAGCGAGAUUUCACACUCCAUCACUUCUCCCUUGGCCAGAGGAGCGGGGUCCCACUGCAGAGCCAUGGCUCCGAUUGCGCUCCUGCUGUGCCCCCACACACACAAACCAAAGCUGCCCGGCUUUGCUGCAGAACAGAGCCGGGCUAAGAGUUGGGAUCCCCAUUAUUAAACAUCGGUGGUGUCACGCUUGUUGAAACCACGUGUGUAUGCAGAGCAGGGCCUCCCUCUGCAGCCUUCAGGUGUGCAUCUGUGCACGUUCACACUUGGAAGUGCAUUACCAAGCAACAGCUACCUUGAGAAAUGAUGGUAGUGACUGCUGGAGAGCUCCAGGCUCCUGCUGACACCCUUGGUGCACCCGUUGCUCUUGGCAGGGUUUUGGUUAUGUAAAACCCAAUGGGUUGAGGGUCAGGUAGCCGAUGGUUUAUUUCCUGGCCUUCGAGAGGAGCUGAAAAAGCAGCUUUCCGUUUUAAUUCUGUUUUUCUCAUCUCUCUCAUCAACAGUCUGUGUUGGUAUUGAAAAGAGGGAAGCUGUCAGAGGGAUUGGAGGUGCCAGGCUCGUGGCUGGUGUCCUUGUGGUGGACUUUGCGGUGUGGUUCUGCCUUGUGCCAUAUGUGCUCAACAUUUGGCUCUGUCCUAAAUCCCUGCUUCUUCCAGGGGAAAAAAAGGCCAAAGUGCACCCAGGUAGUGGCUGUGCAGGUGUAACGGGGGCCUUUCUGUUGAGGAAGUCAUUUGAUGUGUAUACACCAUAAAAACAAGUCCUUGCGUGUGUGUACAUGGAUCAGUGUUUAAAAACCCCAACAAUAUUAGUACAGACGCUGCAUACGAACAGCAGAUUUCAGGGGACCCGCAAUGAUUCCUCCUUUCUCUGUAGCUGUGGGCCAGGGCCGGAGCUGUGAGCGGCCAUCGCUGCGCCUUCCUGUAAGGCUGCUUACAGGGCUUAUUAACCACUUGUAAUUAACUGUCCCACGUCGCCUAUUUGUCAUUUCUAUAUUAAAUUAUAUACGCACUGUUGAUAAUAUAUUGAGAAAUGAUAUAUUUGUUUAACGAGGCUCUUUAACAAACAGCUCAGAAAUGCGAACGCGAGGCUGGCAGUAGGAGCACUGUCCUUCUUACUCUGUGCUUACGCUCAAAUGAGUUUUAUAACCGGACUAUUUUUCUAGCGAUGAUUUCCAAGCCAUGGUGCAGAUCCACACUUAUUUCGGCUUUUUUUUACUCCGUUUGAGUCUCGUUUUGUAACACAUCUUGUCAGACACAGCCGGUGGCUGAGCUGGGGCGGCACACACAGGGACGGGGCCUUGUGCUGUACCCAAAUGUUGCUCCUUCCAGGAGCCCUCAGCACUGCUGGAGCCAAUGUGUGGUUCUGGAUCUGGUUGAUGGAGCUCUUUUCCACCCAGAAGGGCUCUGUGAUUCAGUGGCUGUGCAGUGCCGGGGUGACGCCUGGCUUUGUCCCAGUGCUGUCUGUGAGCCGGUACCCACACGAGGUCCGGCGGUGCUGCUCCUGGAGGCCGGAGCUGUGCCGCCCCUCGUCCUUCCCCCUGCGGCGCCGUCCCCACCCAGCACACAGGGUGCUUACCUUUGUACUUUCUAAUAAAGAAUCCUGGCACGGA